rnacentral:lncRNA from 1 species
AUUUGUAGCAUUUUGUUAGUAUGUUUUACCCAUUUCUUUAACUGAAAUCAGGUGUGGAAAUAAAUGAAGCUGUCUCAAAUGUGAAUCCAUGGAGACUGUUUACUCAGAGAUAGCUGGGGCAAGGGAGUCAGCAUCAUUACUUGAGUUUGGCAAACUUAAAAAGCAGUCAGGGAAUGGAAAAACUAUAGUGAGAAAAGGGGAAAAGUUUUAGUUUUCUUGGAUGAGGUUGAUGAUAUGGGGAAACUGGAGGCAAGCUAACAAGAAGCAGGGCAUCUUAUGAGAUCUGGUUUGGUGAAUAUAUUUGACUUUCUUUGGUUAGUUAUGAGUUGGGGCCAAAAAAAAGGGGGAAGCUGGCCAAGUCCUGCCCAUUCUGGGCCAGUUGCUAUGGCUACAUAGGUUGUCUUUUGGGUUCCCAGACUGGUUGAUGUAGAGGUAUUGAGUCAGAGAGUUCAGUUGUCAUAUAUGAUCUAGCCUUUGUUCCUCUUACAUAUUCAGCCUCUAACAGCCUUCCCACUAAUUAACAUCAUUUCUGUUGCCACCCUCUCUGGUGGUAGCUUUUAAGUUACCCGAUUUCCUGGGAUGAGGAAGGAUCAGCUUCCUCAUAUAUAUAUUUCAGACCAGUGUUCCAUUAGCAUUCCUGUCAGUUACUCUUCUGUAGAAAUGCCCACUUUCCCAUAUUCUUUUCUGUUAUUUACUAAACUCACUUUAGUUCAUCAAACACUUACUGGGUAACACUACCUUGUUCUUCAGGGGCUAAUUGUCUAGCAAGUGAUACUGUUACACUAAAAACCUUGGAAAGUGGUAUAAGAGAAGUGAAAUAAAAAUUCUGCUAAAUUAGGUAACACCUUAAGUUGGUCUUGAAAUACAAAGAGUCAAAUGUAGGGAGCAAUGGCAGGACAUGAUUUUGAGAGGAAGAGGGGGCAGGAUAGGUAUGGGCUGGAAAUGUUAAGGCAAAUAUAUUCAGAGGGCUAAACUUCACAUUCCUAUCCCUAAACCACCACUUAAUUCUUAUUUCCAUCUUAGACCUAAUUAUCCCCUAGAAUUGCAUCAUGUUGAAUGCCAUGCUUCCUGAGUAUUACCAAUCCAUCCUGUUGAUUAGACAAAGCUAAGUUUACUGUUUUAUAGCUGCCAGGGAGAUACCACCUCAACAGAACAUUGGCAGUGUCUCAGAGGAGGAGUAGCAAAUUCAGAAUUUAUUGAGAAUCUUAAGUUUGUUAAGGCAGGUCUUUUGAUGCCUUAGGUGGGUUAGAGGGUUGGAUGGGGGUCUGAAUAGUUUUGGGUAGGGAUCAAGAAAAAGCAGUCCAGCAUUGGUGGGAAUUACAAAAUGAAGAUUUUUGAGAUAAAAGAUAAAAAGAAUCUUUGAGCUUAAACUGUGUUUUGAUGCUUACUACUGAAGAGUUGACUGUCUUUUAGGAUGUUCUUUAAUAAACAGUCAAGUGAUUUACUUGGGCAAGAGGCUCUUGGAAUUGUUAAAUUAUGCUAGUGAAGACAAUGAAAUAAUAAAAUCACAUUAAUGUAAACUGUGUGUGUAGAGGAAGUAGUUUGGAUUCUCAGUCUCCCAAACUCUGAAUGUGUUUCCUUUAAUCCCAGGUGUUUCCUUUAGUCACCUUCUUCACUUACACGCUCUAAUGCCUUCUGAGGUUUUCCUUGGCCUUUUGCAUAAUCUGAUCAAUCAUUAGCCUCCUUAUUUUUUCUUUUCAGCACUAGGGAUUGAACCCAGGGCUUCACACAAGGUGGGCAAGUGCUCUACCUCUGAGCUACACCCCCACCCUUAUCUUCCUUUUAAUUAUCUUC